AUGACAAGUGUGACCAAAAAUCAGUUCGGUUUCAUGCCUGGGAGGUCGACCAUGGAAGCCAUUUUCUUGGUACAACAACUUAUGGAGAGAUAUAGGGAGCAAAAGAAGGACUUGCAUAUGGUGUUCAUUGACUUGGAAAAGGCCUAUGAUAAGAUACCGCGGAAUGUCAUGUGGUGGGCCUGGGAGAAAUACAAAGUCCCAGCAAAGUACAUUACCCUCAUCAAGGAAAUGUACAAUAAUGUUGUGACAAGUGUUCGAACAAGUGAUGUCGACACCGAUGACUUCCGGAUUAAGAUAGGAUUGCAUCAGGGGUCAGCUUUGAGCCCUUAUCUUUUUGCAUUGGUGAUCGAUGAGGUCACAAGGGGUAUACAAGGAGAUAUCCCAUGGUGUAUGCUCUUUGCGGAUGAUGUGGUGCUAGUUGACGAUAGUCGGACGGGGGUAAAUAGGAAGUUAGAGUUAUGGAGACAAACCUUGGAAUCGAAAGGGUUUAGGCUUAGUAGAACUAAAACCGAGUACAUGAUGUGCGGUUUCAGUACUUCUAGGUGUGAGGAGGAGGAGGUUAGCCUUGAUGGCCAGGUGGUACCUCGGAAGGACACCUUUCGGUAUUGGGGUCAAUGUUGCAGGAGGAUGGGGUUAUUGAUGAAGAUGUGA
rnacentral:rRNA from 1 species